rnacentral:lncRNA from 1 species
AGAGUUUCUCUCAUGUCUGCAGUUUUUAAAAGUAACCAGCUGAAAAUAAUCCUCAUGCUAAAGAAACAUAUCUUGGAGUAGCCAAUUCCAGUCCCCCACACUAGCAUCCAUGAGAAGCCAGGGAGAGGAAAGAAGGAUUUUUUCUUAGAUAAUCCAGAGGGAGCAUGGCCUUGCCAACAUCUUGACUUCAGACUUCUAGUUUCCAGAACUAUAGCCCAGGAAAUGAUUCAACAGACAUCAAUUUAGUAUAAAUUAGGAUUGAAUGCCAAAAGGAUUAGGAGGGAACAGAGAGAUCGGAGGACAAGGAAAUUACAGAAUUGAAUAUUUGAUGAAAGCUAAUUUCUUAAGGAAUUCUACUCACUGUUGCUGAUCCUGCCUCAUUUCCUGUCUUCAUCUUUCCCUGCUUCCACAUGGCGGGAUCUGCCAGUUCCCCAGCUAUCCAUCUCACAACCAUACCUGACCAGUUUGAAGGCAGCAUGAGCUCUAUAAUUUGCUACAAUUCAUAAACAGAAGAGAGAAGGGGAGGGAAAGCCAGUGUAUAAUAUGCAAGGCAUUAAGAUCAAUUUCUCUGUAUCCAGUGUGACCUUGCCUCAGAGCUUAGCUCGUUUUGGAGCUGUCCUUGGUGCUUACCUCAGAUCUGGAACUCAAUUUUCAGGACUGAUCCAGCCUGCAGUUUCCUCAUAAUGAGGAGUCUAUUUUUCAUGAACCAGGUGCCUCUCUGCCCACCUUGGAACCCUGCCACUAUCCCUACAUGGACUUGCAGGAAAAUAUGCCAAUUCCACCUUCCCUUGCUCUCCUCUGCUAUGUUUUUCUCUCUCACUCUCUCCAUAAUUCUUCCUCAGUACAGUUUUCUUGGCAUAUCUCCCUACUUAGACAUACAUCCAAACAGUAAUUUCUAUGAUGAGUGUAAGUGGUUGGUAUGGCAAGAAAAAACACAGAGCUGGAUGUUAGAAAUCCUGGAUUUUAGAUUUUAGUUAUGGCUCUAAUAUUAACGAGCCCUGUGACUUGACUAAGUCAUGCAAAAUCUCAGAAAUCUGCUUUUCCAUUUAUAAAGUUGAGAUAAUCACAUAAUCUCUAUAUUACCACAGAGGGUAGUUGUAAGGCUCACGUAAGAUGAUAAUAUGUGAAAACUCUGGAAAAUAAAUGCAAUUAUCCAUAUUUGCAAGGUAUUUCAUGUUUUGGUUAAAAUGAUCAAUAAUUACUAUGACCUUUCUUGGCAUCUUUAAUUCCUAAAUCCUAUGAGAUGGAAAAUGAAGCUUUAAUAUUAUUUUAGAUAAAAUUAUUUCUUCAUCUAGUAAAUUAAUGAAUACUGAAAUGGAGCUAUGGUGCGCUGACGGCUUUGAAGUUUAGAGCUAUAUUAUUAGGACUAGGAAAUACGAUAAGAAGAAAGUGAGAGGAUAUCAGGUAUUGCAAACUAGUUUUCGUUUUUUCCCAAGAAAAAGACAUUUAUGUUUCAGGAAUAUACCCACUGUGUGGGUGUAGGG